rnacentral:misc_RNA from 1 species
GAUGAAGAACGCUGCGAAAUGCGAUAAGUAAUGUGAAUUGCAGAAUUCAGUGAAUCAUCGAAUCUUUGAACGCACAUUGCGCCCGCCAGUAUUCUGGCGGGCAUGCCUGUUCGAGCGUCAUUUCAACCAUCAAGCCCCGGGCUUGUGUUGGGGACCUGCGGCUGCCGCAGGCCCUGAAAUGCAGUGGCGGGCUCGCUGUCACUCCGAGCGUAGUAGUUACAUCUCGCUCUGGGCGUGCUGCGGGUUCCGGCCGUUAAAAGCCUUAUUUACCCAAGGUUGACCUCGGAUCAGGUAGGAAGACCCGCUGAACUUAAGCAUAUCAAUAAGCGGAGGA